UGCCAUUGCCACCAAAGGUGCUGC
rnacentral:siRNA from 1 species